rnacentral:tRNA from 1 species
GGGCAUAUAGCUCAAUGGUAGAGCGCUAUCUUCACACGAUAGAGGUCCGAGGUUCAAUCCCUCGUAUGCCCA